rnacentral:rRNA from 1 species
AGCACCGGCUAACUCCGUGCCAGCAGCCGCGGUAAUACGGAGGGUGCAAGCGUUACUCGGAAUCACUGGGCGUAAAGGACGCGUAGGCGGGAUGCCAAGUCUGAUGUGAAAUCCUAUGGCUUAACCAUAGAACUGCAUUGGAAACUGGUUACCUAGAGUAUGGGAGGGGGAGAUGGAAUUAGUGGUGUAGGGGUAAAAUCCGUAGAUAUCACUAGGAAUACCUAAAGCGAAGGCGAUCUCCUGGAACAAUACUGACGCUAAGGCGUGAAAGCGUGGGGAGCAAACGGGAUUAGAUACCCCGGUAGUCCACGCCCUAAACGAUGAACACUAGUCGUCGGGAUGCUUGUCAUCUCGGUGAUGCACUUAACAGAUUAAGUGUUCCGCCUGGGGAGUACGGUCGCAAGAUUAAAACUCAAAGGAAUAGACGGGGACCCGCACAAGUGGUGGAGCAUGUGGUUUAAUUCGAAGAUACGCGAAGAACCUUACCUAGCCUUGACAUUGAUUGAAUUCUGUAGAGAUACGGAAGUGCCUUUCGGGGAACAUGAAAACAGGUGCUGCACGGCUGUCGUCAGCUCGUGUCGUGAGAUGUUGGGUUAAGUCCCGCAACGAGCGCAACCCUCGUCCUUAGUUGCCAACAGUUCGGCUGGGCACUCUAAGGAGACUGCCUUCGUAAGGAGGAGGAAGGUGAGGACGACGUCAAGUCAUCAUGGCCCUUAUGGCUAGGGCUACACACGUGCUACAAUGGGGCGUACAGAGAGUUGCGAUACCGCGAGGUGGAGCCAAUCUCAUAAAGCGUCUCUCAGUUCGGAUAGCAGUCUGCAACUCGACUGCUUGAAGCUGGAAUCACUAGUAAUCGUAGAUCAGCAAUGCUACGGUGAAUACGUUCCCGGGUCUUGUACUCACCGCCCGUCACACCAUGGGAGUUGAUUUCACCCGAAAUUGGGAAGCUAACCUUCGGGAGGCUACCACUUACGGUGGAAUUAGCGACUGGGGUGAAGUCGUAACAAGGUAACCGUAGGAGAACCUGCGGUUG